GUAAAACACGGGGAAAACGUAAAAUACGGGAAAUACAUAGCAGCAAAACUGUUGAUGGGACCUGAUGAAAGAACGUUAAAUGCAGGGGAAACGUAGAUUCGGGGGCGUAAAAUACGGGUUUCACUGAUAAUAUGAAUAGAUCACAUUUUAAAACAUGUGCAUAUGCUUGUGGUGUCUUAAUGUUUCUUUCCCUUAAAACAUCAUGUUUAUAACUCCUACUAAUAACAUUCAAACCAGGGUUUUGUCAGGAGUCACCUAGGGAGAGGGGUCAGGGCGAGACUGCGCCACUGAAAUUUUCAGGGGGUGUUUUGAGGGGUAUUCUCUUAUUUGACGACUCUCACUCUGAGGGGAUCUUUCUGGUUUUGGGGCGGGGAGUACGCCAAGUAAUGCAUAAAUUUACUUGAAUGUUGUGCAGCUAUUUCUAAAACGGCAAGCACAUUUAUUUCCUAUUUGUUAUUAUCUAUUAUGUGGGUGGUAUUAUGUGGAUAUAUAUGUUCAUAUAAUAUCUCUUCAUGGUUUAGUUUAAGAUUUUAAAUAUUAAUAUAGGAACUUCACGUCCUAGAAUGAGGAGGAAUUUCUUUUGCGCACCGAAACUACUUAUUUCACCAAGAACUCGCUCUUUAAACUUUGUGUUCAAAACGCGUAAAUAUACGAGUAAACUUUAAAUAUUUAACGUGGCAUCAGCAAACAAAAGCAUAUGCCUCAUUUUAAGUUUUAAACUAGGAUUAGAUAAUUAAGUUUCAGCAUGGUAAAUCAUGCUUACCUCACCUGUGGUUAAGAUCGAUUAAUCCUCGUUUGACAUCAAAAUUAAUUACGUUAAGUAAAGUUAUUGCUCUUUCUUAUGAUGAACUAAAGCAACGUAAAUUUCUUAUUUGGUUGCUGCCAAGGUAGGCGAUUUAAUUAUAGUGGGGUGUUUAUAGUUAUAAUAUAUAUUUUUUUAUUUCUUUUAUUUGAAAAAAAAAAAACUUAUAACAGAUAAACACACUGAAGGAAUAUUUUCAGCCCUUUGAAGAUCAUAAGCUUUGGUGGAAAUUAGCGAUGGCUUCAGAAAUUAAGAUAAAUAAAUGAGAAAUAAAACUUAAUUUGAAUUUUGACAUCUGGAAUUCAAAUUAUGUUUUUCGCAAUCACGAGUGUGUGUGUAUGUAGGCGUGUGUGUUUGUGUCUGUGUGCAGGCAUGAGUGUGUGGGUAGUUGUGUAUGUGUAGGUAGCUGUAUGUAUGUGUUUGUGUGUAGGUGUAUGCAUGUGUGUGUAUGUGUUUGUGUGUAUGUGUGUGUAUGUGUUUGUUUGUACGUGCGUGUAUGUAUGCGUGUAAGUGUAGGAUAUUGACCCAACCUGGAGAAGGCUUUCGCUAGAAGAGCAGCAUCGUGAGGAGCCGGUCGAUGGUGAUGUUGCAGAGAGUGCUGGCGGGAAAAUAAAAUGAUAGCACAUCAAAACAGUCAAAUAAAAGCAAUUGUGAUUGCUCAAAA